GGCGUGGGUGGGAUUUUUUUGUUAUAACAAAAUGUUUGUAUAAAGCUAAACAGAUGCUAUGUGAGAAAGUUAUAACGUGCUUUACACUCUUAAGAACAAAAUGCACGUGAUAGUAAUCAUUCUUAACAAGAGGCGUUCCCAAAAUGUAAGACAGUGUAAACGGACACUUUUGAUUUAUAAUACAAACACGUGUACAAAUCCAAAAACAACAUACGCCAGUAGCCUCAUUAAAUUCAAUUAUCUGAUAAACAAUAAUUGCUAUUAAUAAACGGACUACUGGCGCUGAAAAACAGACAAUACAAAUUGUAGAAAGAAUAUAGAAUAUUUAUUACUAAUAAUACAACAAGUAUAUGUACAAAAUAUGUAUGUGUGGAUAUUUGAUAGGCCGCAGAUAAAAUGUUUAACCAGUUCCAGGGAGACAAACAAACCGAUAGCCAAAGGAUUGAAAAGAGCAUAUCGGUGACCCUAUGAUAACAUAAGUGUCAAAACAUCCCUCCUACGUGCAAGAGUGGACUGGACGGAGAACCCCCCUCUGUUUACACAGACCUCUGAAAACAACAGUCUCUCCGAUUUUUUAAAUGCAAACAACCUGAAUUACGUGUACUGCGGAGAUGACACCUCCCUUCUGAUACCAGAAGUGGAGGGGAUUCCUCUUGAUGACAAGAGUGAACCCUAGGAAAUUAUUUGAUACCCUCUACUAAAGAGCCGGUAGGGUAGAGAUAUGUGCCAGAGGGGGACAGUUCCAAGUCCGUUUAUUGUCUCCCUGAACCGCCAAAUGAAUGGGGGUCUUAUAAAUCCCCAUUCACCGCCAAACAUUCUCUGCGCUCAUUUUUCUGGUGGGAAAACCUUAGCAACACCGAGUACGAAAGUUUCAAUGGCAGCCUGAAUGUUAUUUAAGAAAAUGCCAAUACCGACUUGUGACAGGUGGCAGCCGUCAUGUCUAAAUAAAUUGUGCUCAGAGGCUU
rnacentral:lncRNA from 1 species